UACGUAGGGCGCAAGCGUUGUCCGGAAUCAUUGGGCGUAAAGAGCUCGUAGGUGGUCUGUUACGUCUGCUGUGAAAUCCUAGGGCUUAACCCUGGGCCUGCAGUGGAUACGGGCAGACUAGAGGUAGGUAGGGGAGAAUGGAAUUCCCGGUGUAGCGAUGAAAUGCGCAGAUAUCGGGAGGAACACCGGUGGCGAAGGCGGUUCUCUGGGCCUUACCUGACACUGAGGAGCGAAAGCGUGGGGAGCGAACAGG
rnacentral:rRNA from 1 species